rnacentral:rRNA from 1 species
ACAGCAGCAGCCGCGGGAAAACAGAGGGUGCGAGCGUUAAUCGGAUUUACUGGGCGUAAAGCGUGCGUAGGCGGCUUUUUAAGUCGGAUGUGAAAUCCCUGAGCUUAACUUAGGAAUUGCAUUCGAUACUGGGAAGCUAGAGUAUGGGAGAGGAUGGUAGAAUUCCAGGUGUAGCGGUGAAAUGCGUAGAGAUCUGGAGGAAUACCGAUGGCGAAGGCAGCCAUCUGGCCUAAUACUGACGCUGAGGUACGAAAGCAUGGGGAGCAAACAGGAUUAGAGACCCCUGUAGUCCCUGUCUCUUAUAU